AGCGAACGCUGGCGGCAGGCCUAACACAUGCAAGUCGAACGAACUCUUCGGAGUUAGUGGCGGACGGGUGAGUCACACGUGGGGACGUGCACUCUGGUAUGGCCUAACUCAGGGACACUUGUGAUAAUACCGUAUGUGCGCUUAGGGGGAAACAUCUAUCGAGAUUGGAGGGGCCCGCGUCUGAUUCGCUAGUUGUUAAGGUAAAGGAUCACCAAGGCUACGAUCAGCAGCUGGUCUGAGAGGAUGAUCAGCAACAUUGAGACUAGGACACGGCCCGAACUCCUACGGGAGGCAGCAGAGGGGAAUCUUGCACAAUGGGCGAAAGCCUGACGCAGCCAUGCCGCGUGAAUGAUGAAGGUCUGAGGAUUGUAAAAUUCUUGCACCGGUGACGAUAAUGACGGUACCCAGUGAAAAAGCCCCGGCUAACUACGUG
rnacentral:rRNA from 1 species